rfam:Ovis aries breed Texel chromosome 4, whole genome shotgun sequence.
UAGAAUUUGGUGUAACUGGGAGCAUGAAGAGUUUGGGGUUCUUAGGAGUAGGUUCAAUUCCUAUAGUUCUAG